CUUCCUGUUUGUCCAUCGUCCUCAGCAGAGUCCAGAACCCAAGGUCCCAGAAAAUCACGGUGCAGCAGCCCCAGAGGAUGCUGGGAUACAGUGUAACAUCAAACAUCAAGAGUUUCCUGAAUAUCUCGACAGAGUUCCUCCAGUUAAAGCAGAUCUGAGUUUACCAGGUCUGAGGGAGACUGCCAACAAAGAGGCAAGACCUGUUCAGAACCAGAACCAUGACCAGUGCUGAGGUUUUAUUUGUACCUUUCUAGAUGUAUGCUCUUCUACCACCAGGUGCAGCGGCGGUUGGAUCAGGUUCGAGCGGUGUUGAAGAGGCAGCGCCAGGUUGAAGCUCAGCCUCAGAUGAGUGGGACAUCUGUUGCCAUGACCGACCUGCAGGUCUGUGGUUUCUGGUGGUCCGGUUCAGACGGCGAGGCUCUUCCUGUCCCAUCUGGGCCUGCUGACCCCCGACACCCUGAAGGACUCGGGUGGUGUCCCGGCUCAGCUCUUGUCUCUGGAUUCUUCUCUUCCUGGUUUCUCCGAAGAUCUGAGACAUUUAGACCAACUCGCGUCCAGAAACUGUGACUCCGCCUCCGUCUUCUACCUGAGAGCAGGACAGAGGACAGCAGCCGAGGUUCUUAGUAACGCAGACUCGUCCUCCAGUGUCUCAUCUCACUUCCUGGACUUCCUGUCAUCUCUCGGUUGUCCGGUAGCGGUGAGCAGGACCUCACCUGUCAGUGCAGAUUUUCCAGGUGAGCCCUCUGCUCUCUGAUUGGCUGAUAUUACACAUGCUCUC
rnacentral:lncRNA from 1 species